rnacentral:lncRNA from 1 species
GUGGAGCCCAGGGAGACAGAUCCACAAAUCACUGAGAAAGGUGAGCCUGGAGAGGCAGCAUCGGACAAGCACCAUGAAGGCUGCCUGCUGGGAGCCUGUGCCACACGUGUGUCUGGCUUCCUCUCGUGCUGUUAAUGACUUUUAUAAUUUUAUUAUCUAUCACAUCAAACCAAAGUUUUGUCUGAAGUGGGAUGUUGAAGAUUUCUCGUGAGCUUCCUGGCAUUUGUCCAGAAGUUGAGGUCCAGCAUGAAAUGCAGAAGAACCUGGGCUAUUUCCUGGCUUUUAAAAAUGAUUCUUGUGCUACGGGUGAUCCUACUUGUCUCUAUAUCUGGGAUCUUUGGAAAGGCCCUGGGUAUAUUGAAAUCUACCCGGGCAACUCAGGUGCUCUCAUGGGUAUUUCCAUUUUCACUGUAUCUAUUGUUUCCAUUUCAUCAUCUGGAUCUCGAACUUCUCAGAGAUAGAAUGAGUGCUGGAGAGUUAACGUUCCAUGAGAAUUGAAAGCUUCAACUUAACAAUUCAUUGUUCUAAAUAUGUUCUUAUGUUUUUUGGCAGCUUGAAUGUGCAAGCGCAUAUCUGAGCUGACCUCUGGCUGCAAUUCACGCACAGUCUGUGCAGCAACAGAGACUAAAUAUUUCUGACAUUGCUUAAGAAAGGAGUCACUUUAAGUGGGUUUACACUUUGUAUUCUUACCAAAAGUAUGGUUCAACAUUAAUAGGGUUAAAGCUCCAGUUAGAGAAUGUGCAUAACUAUUAUCCAAGAGCCAUGGGGGCAGGGAAAGGGGAAAAUCUCAGAUGAGCACUGAAGGAUGGUUUGACAAGGAUCUCAAACAUCCUUAAGUUUUACUUCAUUUUAUUCUUUUCUCUGCAGAGUCUU